CACAUGUAUUGUCCAGCGAGGAGGAGCUACAUCGCACCACUUGCGUGCUGCUGCUUCGCACAACUUGGAGAGAUGGCGGACAGUCACAGACAAUUUGAGGGUGCACCACUUCAGCUUCAAGGGAAUGACUGUGGAAUAUUCAUGUUGAUGUUAGACAUGCCUGAAUCAGGAGGUGGUGGUGCCAUCAGUUACUACAGGCAUUUCCUCUGGCAAGCCAACAGUCAGUCACCAAACCAAUGAUCCAACUGGAUCUAAACGUUAUGGAGGUCACCCA